AUGGCAAAAACAAGUACUCUUAUUUUAACCUAUAAAGAAAUAUUUAGUAAUAAAAGUAUAAGUGCAUUUGCAAUAUUUUCAUUAUUAAUGAUGAUUUUGGUGUUUUUGGAAGAAAAAAAACAAAUCUUACGUCUUUUUCAUUACAAAAUAACCCUGGAUGGUACUUUCCUGUUCUUGCAUAUUCUUUGCUGAUCUCCAGAGAACCAGAAAUAACACAUUAAGAAUCAAUUUGCAUACAAGUGUUGACGGAUGGUAAAUCUUAAAAUCAGAUAUUAAGAGUUAGUGUGAACUUACACAUGUAUUAUGUUGUCAAUUACCAAAAAAACAUGAUCCUAAUUUCCAGUUGCAGAUAUUUUAUCUGCUUUUGGAGGCGCCCAUUGUUGACUAAGACGGGACUUUACCCAUGGAUCAAGAGGUGCUUUUUGUGGUGGUUGGGGA
rnacentral:lncRNA from 1 species